GCCAUUUUAGCUCAGCUGGUAUGGAAUGAGAUUCUUCAUCUCAGGGUUGUGGGUUCGAAUUCCGUGUUGGACA